GGAUGCCUACAGCUGACAAGAGCUAACUGCUCUCACGGCAGAGUCUCUCUCCAGCCAGAUUCCCCAGGGUGACAGAGGAAGCACAGCUGGGGCAGGCUGCUGGGGGAAAAGAGCCUUCUCCCAGAAUGCUGACAGCAUUCAUUCAGGAGAGCUCCUUGAGGAUGGGAGAAGAGGGUGUAAUAAAUGGCUCAGUCUUCAAAAUAGGACUAUAAUCAAAGUUUACAAUUUAUUAAAGGAAUAGAGGUAAGCAAACAGCGAUGGGUGCACUGGGAGUCUCUGCUCCACCAAGACAUACACCAGUUACAUCAAGCAGCUGAUUUGUAUGCUCCCAGGCUGAUACAUAUUCAUUACUACUUCUAAAUAAAACAGGGUUAUUAUAAUUAGUUUCUGGAAUCCCAACUGGAGCAUGUGUAUCAGUCUCCGGUGGUCCCUCUGAGGGUCUCUGGGGGGUCUCUCGUGCUGAAGGCUCAUAGUCUUCCUCCCUCUUGUCCUUCUCCUUUGUCCAACUUGGCUGUAUGUCAGAGACUUGUGCAACAUCCCCUGCAAGCUUUGUCUUUUAGUUGUUCUUCAGCUCUCGCCAUCUCCUUAAUCUCCUGGCCAGAUAUCAGAGACUUGCAUAGUGUCCCAUGCAAUAGUCAUAAUAGUUAGCAGUUAUUCUGAAACCCCCCAGAUAUCAGAGACUUCAAGGAAAAGCCUACAAAUACAUUGCCCUUCAAGCUCUCUAUUGACACGAAUUGCUAAACCAUUCCUUUGCAAGGUACGAGAAUUAUAUACAUUAACCACUCUGUUCUUCUUAGACUUGUGGUUAUACAAGGGUAUGUAAGACAGAAGGUCACAUUCAUCAUACCAUGCGGCCCUAGCAUUGUUCCAUACUGACACAAAUCAGAUGAACAUAUCUCACAAGGGGAAGGGCAAGCGCUGUGCUGCAGCCUGGCCCCAAACUCAAGCCCCUGCCUGCGAGGCUCACCAGAGAGCAGGACAAGUAGCCACUGCAUCUGUGUGCCCAUUGCCGGGCUGUUUCACGGGUUGCCUUUGUGGAGAUUUGAUGUUUCUCUCUAAUCGUUGCAUGCUCAGCACAAAGCAUGUUUUUGCAGGCAUUGCUCUCCUGCGCACACUGCCAGUGUACAGCCAGGGAAGCAGCUGCUGCAGCAGCUCAGAGCAGAAGGCCACGGUUGUUCACUCAUCCAAUGCAGCUGCAAAGGAGCCUCCAUUUUUUCGGGGAACUCCAGGCCUCUGGGUACAGCAAGGGACAGGGUUCCCCUAUCUCUUUUUCUCUCUUUGCUGGGAGGGUCUGGAUGAGGGCAUCUACUUCUCUGAUUUGGCAGGUGGCUGCCACAGCUUGCACCACGGCUUCUCCUUGGGCCAGACCUCAGAAAAGAGACACUGGUCCUCGCAGAGAGCUGUCGCCUGCUGGAAAAGCAAGACCAGGUUGUUGAGCAAAAGCUAUAGCAGCAAAUCCUCGUCUUGUGUGCUUGCAAGAUGCUGGCAAUGCAUCAGGAAAUAGGCUGCCUGUGCCGCCAGCAAGACAAAAGAACUCUGCAGGAACUGAUGGUUGAGGAGCAGCUGAAGAAAGAGUGGGAGGCAAAGUACAUGUGGGCCCCGUGCAAGGCUCAUGGCAAAAGGGAUGGAAGAGAGAGGGCCUGGGUAUGACAAGUGCUUUCAAGCACUCCAGAAGGAACCUUUCUCUUCUCUCAGGGGGCCAAGUGCACACUCUUCCCCUCUUAGCUCUGCCACGAAGCUUCUCUCCAAGAGAAAAACCUGCCCUUUCUGAGCCUUGUUUUCCUUCGUGAAGGAUGAGGGCUCCUGCAAAGCCCGCUGCCCUGGAAGUGUUCUUGCCCUUAGCUUCAGAAGCCGAGGGCUGGGGCCUUUCAUGCUGCCUUUCUGAGAGAAAGCAGGCUGCAGGGAAACUGCCCUGAGCCUGGGGAAACCCUGAGGGGACGACUGCCCCACUGCCAUGGGACAGCUCCCACAUUAGCACUCCCCUCUAAAAACGCUCCCUGUUUCUGCUUCCCCUGUAGCAGAAGAUGCAGGCGGAAAUGCAGAGGCUGCAGAGGGGGUGUGCUUCCUCCAUGGCACUCAUGGACCUGAAGAACGCUCUGCAGCUGGUACCAGUGGAGAUGAAGCAUCAGCAUGUCCUCAUCCCUCUCCCUCCAGCGAAGAAGGCUGAGGCAGCUCCCCUCAGCAAAUCAAGUGCCAGGUAAGUGUGGGCCAACUCCCACAAAGGCCAGGAAAAGCUGAGCUGCAUCAGGCUGCCCGAGGGAUCCAGCAUGCGGGUUGCUCAGCUCUGGGCUUUGGCUCUCCAUCCCCUGGCUGCUUCGGGGAGGCAAUGACUGUGGAGAGGACCUUGCCUCCAGACGUUCCCCUGCAGACCCAAAGUCCUGAAGCUCCCCUGCAGCCGACAGUCACGUACCCACAGUGGAAGGGGGCUGUGCUCCCUGCUCCUGGGGCUGGGGGCAGGCAGAGCUGGGGACCUUCAGAUCCUACCUGAGAGUUUUUUUCUCUGUUGAUGCAGCUACCAAUUAGUAUGGAGUGUGCAGGCGGGGAAAGUGAUGGAGAAGAGAAAGGAGGCCUGGAAAAUCACUGGGCUGCGGCGCACUGCCUCUGUCUUGCUUCCGCGAUUGCGCUCUACACACAUUUCUAAUUUCAUUUCAUUAAGAUGUAAUAUUUAUCUUUAUUUCAAUAAUUUUUAUCUUUAUUUCAUUAAGAUUUAAUAAACAAAUAAACGGCUGUUCUACA
rnacentral:lncRNA from 1 species